GACGAGGGAUCCUAGCGUUGUUCGGAAUCAUUGGGCGUAAAGCGGGCGUAGGCGGCUUUGUAAGUCAGGUGUGAAAUCCCAGGGCUCAACCCUGGACGUGCAUUUGAUACUGCGAAGCUUGAGUGUAGGAGAGGAUAGUAGAAUUCCUGGUGUAGUGGUGAAAUACGUAGAUAUCAGGAGGAAUACCAGAGGCGAAGGCGGCUAUCUGGCCUAACACUGACACUCAGACCCGAAAGCGUGGGGAUCAAACAGG
rnacentral:rRNA from 1 species